rnacentral:rRNA from 1 species
AUUGAACGCUGGCGGAAUGCUUUACACAUGCAAGUCGAACGGUAGAGGGGGCAACCCCUUGAGAGUGGCGAACGGGUGAGUAAUAUAUCGGAACGUGCCCAGUCGUGGGGAUAACGUAGCGAAAGUUACGCUAAUACCGCAUACGAUCUAAGGAUGAAAGCGGGGGAUCGCAAGACCUCGCGCGAUUGGAGCGGCCGAUAUCAGAUUAGGUAGUUGGUGAGGUAAAGGCUCACCAAGCCGACGAUCUGUAGCUGGUCUGAGAGGACGACCAGCCACACUGGGACUGAGACACGGCCCAGACUCCUACGGGAGGCAGCAGUGGGGAAUUUUGGACAAUGGGCGCAAGCCUGAUCCAGCAAUGCCGCGUGCAGGAUGAAGGCCUUCGGUUGUAAC